rfam:Burkholderia sp. ST111 contig_100, whole genome shotgun sequence.
UUGAGCCGUAUGCGGGGAAACUCGCACGUACGGUUCUUAGGGGAGGACGCGACGGCAACGUCGCGUCCUUACCCGAC